AAGAAAAAUUUUCAGCUCUAAAAGGGAUCCUAUUGGUUUCUACGUUAAUGAGAUCGGUUGGAUCUGGAUCCCCUAGCGGGCCGAGGCAUUGAAGGUGUGGUUGAUCGGUGGGGAUGACAAUUUUGUUAGACAAUUCCUAGUGGUUUUGGAGAUAAAGAAAAAAGAACGCAAAGAAAAGAAAAGAAAAAUGUUCAGUAAAAUGGAUUGCGGAUGAACAGGGAUGCGAGGAAAAGUAUAAGAGAUGGAAUGAAGAGCUGACCUCAGGGACGAUGAAGUUAAUGGCCAUCUUGCCACGAGGAGAAUGUUUGAGGGCUCCGGGGUUGGUGAGGAAGAGUCUUUGUCGGAGG
rnacentral:lncRNA from 1 species